rfam:Salmo salar isolate Sally breed double haploid chromosome ssa01, whole genome shotgun sequence.
UGCUUUCACCACUGUAAAUUGCUCUGGAUAAGAGCGUCUGCUAAAUGACUAAAA